AUUGAACGCUGGCGGCAUGCUUUACACAUGCAAGUCGAACGGUAACAGGCCGCAAGGUGCUGACGAGUGGCGAACGGGUGAGUAAUGCAUCGGAACGUGCCCAGUCGUGGGGGAUAACUACUCGAAAGAGUAGCUAAUACCGCAUACGAUCUAUGGAUGAAAGCGGGGGACCGUAAGGCCUCGCGCGAUUGGAGCGGCCGAUGUCAGAUUAGGUAGUUGGUGGGGUAAAGGCUCACCAAGCCAACGAUCUGUAGCUGGUCUGAGAGGACGACCAGCCACACUGGGACUGAGACACGGCCCAGACUCCUACGGGAGGCAGCAGUGGGGAAUUUUGGACAAUGGGCGCAAGCCUGAUCCAGCAAUGCCGCGUGCAGGAAGAAGGCCUUCGGGUUGUAAACUGCUUUUGUACGGAACGAAACGGCUCUGGUUAAUACCCGGGGCUAAUGACGGUACCGUAAGAAUAAGCACCGGUUAACUACGUG
rnacentral:rRNA from 1 species